AGAGCUUCUCCUUCGGGAGCAGAGUGACAGGUGGUGCAUGGUUGUCGUCAGCUCGUGUCGUGAGAUGUUGGGUUAAGUCCCGCAACGAGCGCAACCCUUGAUCUUAGUUGCCAUCAUUAAGUUGGGCACUCUAAGGUGACUGCCGGUGACAAACCGGAGGAAGGUGGGGAUGACGUCAAAUCAUCAUGCCCCUUAUGACCUGGGCAACACACGUGCUACAAUGGACGGUACAAAGAGCUGCAAGACCGCGAGGUGGAGCUAAUCUCAUAAAACCGUUCUCAGUUCGGAUUGUAGGCUGCAACUCGCCUACAUGAAGCUGGAAUCGCUAGUAAUCGCGGAUCAGCAUGCCGCGGUGAAUACGUUCCCGGGCCUUGUACACACCG
rnacentral:rRNA from 1 species